AACGAACGCUGGCGGCAUGCCUAACACAUGCAAGUCGAACGAUCCCUUCGGGGCUAGUGGCGCACGGGUGCGUAACGCGUGGGAACCUGCCCUUAGGUUCGGAAUAACUCAGAGAAAUUUGAGCUAAUACCGGAUAAUGUCUUCGGACCAAAGAUUUAUCGCCUUUGGAUGGGCCCGCGUUGGAUUAGCUAGUUGGUGGGGUAAAGGCCUACCAAGGCGACGAUCCAUAGCUGGUCUGAGAGGAUGAUCAGCCACACUGGGACUGAGACACGGCCCAGACUCCUACGGGAGGCAGCAGUGGGGAAUAUUGGACAAUGGGCGAAAGCCUGAUCCAGCAAUGCCGCGUGAGUGAUGAAGGCCUUAGGGUUGUAAAGCUCUUUUACCCGGGAUGAUAAUGACAGUACCGGGAGAAUAAGCCCCGGCUAACUCCGUG
rnacentral:rRNA from 1 species